CUGAGGCAAUCAUUGUCGCUAACACAGAGACCACAGACUUUAAAUACCCAACAGAUGGAGGAGAAUCGUGCGACAAUUCCAUCAUAAAUAUGAGACCGGUGAAAAUCCAGAGGCCACAGAUUAAUACAUAUGAUUACAUUUCUCAAUUAAAAUAAAUUCAUGUUGCCUACUUUUGUUUAUUAUUGAU